GGGCCCGCACAAGCAGCGGAGCAUGUGGUUUAAUUCGAAGCAACGCGAAGAACCUUACCUAGACUUGACAUCUCCUGAAUAGCGUAGAGAUACGUGAAGCCCUUCGGGGCAGGAAGACAGGUGGUGCAUGGUUGUCGUCAGCUCGUGUCGUGAGAUGUUGGGUUAAGUCCCGCAACGAGCGCAACCCUUAUCAUUAGUUGCUACCAUUAAGUUGAGCACUCUAGUGAGACUGCCCGGGUUAACCGGGAGGAAGGCGGGGAUGACGUCAAAUCAUCAUGCCCCUUAUGUCUAGGGCUACACACGUGCUACAAUGGUGAGAACAACGAGAUGCAAUACCGCGAGGUGGAGCCAAACUUGAAAACUCAUCCCAGUUCGGAUUGUAGGCUGAAAUUCGCCUACAUGAAAGUUGGAGUUGCUAGUAAUCGCGAAUCAGAAUGUCGCGGUGAAUACGUUCCCGGGCCUUGUACACACCGCCCGUCACACCAUGAGAGCUGGUAACACCCGAAGUCCGUGAGGUAACCUUUAUGGGGCCAGCGGCCGAAGGUGGGAUUAGUGAUUGGGGUGAAGUCGUAACAAGGUAGCCGUAGGAGAACCUGCGGCUGGAUCAC
rnacentral:rRNA from 1 species